rnacentral:rRNA from 1 species
AAGGGCCUACGGGGCGCAGCAGUGAGGAAUAUUGGUCAAUGGCCGAGAGGCUGAACCAGCCACGUCGCGUGAGGGAUGACGGCCCUACGGGUUGUAAACCUCUUUUGUCGGGGAGCAAGACCCGCCUCGUGCAGGCGGAGCGAGAGUACCCGGAGAAAAAGCAUCGGCUAACUCCGUGCCAGCAGCCGCGGUAAUACGGAGGAUGCGAGCGUUAUCCGGAUUUAUUGGGUUUAAAGGGUGCGCAGGCGGACCAUCAAG